rnacentral:tRNA from 1 species
UGGGGAUAUAGUUUAAUGGUAGAACUUAUGUUUUGCAUAUAUAUAGUAUUGGUUCAAAUCCAAUUAUCUCCAA